rnacentral:pre_miRNA from 1 species
CCGUGGCUGGAACCGGUGCUAAAGGGUCUUUAACAGCCGGUGUUACAAGCCGGUGCUAAAGGGACCCUUUAGCACCGGUUCCAGCCACGGA